AUUGAACGCUGGCGGCAUGGCUAAACAUGCAAGUCGAACGAUCCCUUCGGGGAGAGUGGCGAAAGGGCGAGGAAUAGAAUCGAAUGUACCCCAAGGUGGGGGAUAGCCUCUGGAAACGGAGGGUAAUACCCCAUGUGCUCUACGGAGGAAAGGUUUACCGCCUUGGGAGCAGCGAUUCUCCUAUCAGGUAGUUGGUGAGGUAACGGCUCACCAAGCCGAAGACGGGUAGCGGGUGUGAGAGCAUGACCCGCCGCAUCGGGACUGAGACACUGCCCGGACUCCUACGGGAGGCUGCAGUAACGAAUCUUCCGCAAUGGGCGAAAGCCUGACGGAGCAAUGCCGCGUGUGGGAUGAAGCAUCUUCGAUGUGUAAACCACUGUCAGGGUCUAGGAAUACUGACCAGACCCAAAGGAAGGGCCGGCUAAUUCCGUG
rnacentral:rRNA from 1 species